UACGUAGGUGGCAAGCGUUGUCCGGAUUUAUUGGGCGUAAAGCGCGCGCAGGCGGUCCCUUAAGUCUGAUGUGAAAUCUUGCGGCUCAACCGCAAGCGGUCAUUGGAAACUGGGGAACUUGAGUACAGAAGAGGAAAGUGGAAUUCCACGUGUAGCGGUGAAAUGCGUAGAGAUGUGGAGGAACACCAGUGGCGAAGGCGGCUACCUGGACAGAUACUGACGCUGAGGCGCGAAAGCGUGGGGAGCGAACAGG
rnacentral:rRNA from 1 species